GGCUGUGUGGCUCAGUGGUGGAGCGCUUGCCUAGCACAGGGGAGGUCCUGGUUUCAUCCUCAGCCCCACACAAAAAAUAUCUUAAUUAAUCAAAGGCACUGUGUCCACCUACGACUAAUUAAUAUAUAUAUAUAAAAAGAACUGAGGAGGCUCGAGCUGGGGCUGAGCAGUAGAGCACUCGCCUAGCACAUGCAAGACCCUGGGUUCGAUCCUCAGCAACCCA
rnacentral:tRNA from 1 species